CGUCUAGUCAGGAUGGACUUCAUCUUUGAUAGCCGGUGAAGCUGGAAAAAGCAGGAUAUAACCACCUGACUAAUGUGAGAGUGCAUCCGCAGCUCUGGGUCCAAAACCACCCCCAGGUUAGUGAUGGUUAGCUUCACUAAACUGGCUUCAUUAAGACUAAAUAUGUCAGGAAUUAUCCACGUGCCACUAUUUGUUUUGUUUAACCAUGUCUCACUACUCAGGCACAGCUUGGCUCCUUCAAUCAACUCAUCACUGCCGCCUGUGCCUGCUCAUAAACAGCUCGACUCCUCAGCAUCAUUUCUAGAUUGUCUGAGUCCUUGCCAAACCAAGCAGGUGUUUCAAAGUUUCCAAUAGUUUCACAGAGUUUCACCCUUUGAGCCUUCUGAGCUACAAAGUUACACAUUUGAUAGCACUGAUGUCUUUCAGCAAGGAAGUCUGAAUCUAGGCUCUGACCUUUUUGUUGAAUAUGCUGCAUGUUCUGUCCAUGCAUGCGUGGGUUUUCUCCGUGUACGACUACAUCCCACCCAGUGUUAAUUUUGUUGGUGAAAUAUUUAUAUAUUUUUCAUAACAAAUAUAUUUUUGUUAAGGAGGUGGAUUGCAUUCAGCCACAAAAAAUAAGAAGCUUUGUUUUUCCAAAUAAACGAGAUUAAUUUUGACAGAAAAUAUACAAAAUCAGCUCUGUUUUAGAAAAUUAUUGAGAUAUUUUUCACAGAAAUUAUUUUUAAAAAGCCCGGUUUUUCUGAAUUAACAUAAUUUUCACAGAAAAUAUAAAAACGUCUGGUUUUCCCAACUAACAAGACAACUUUUACAGAAAAACAUGAAAAACACUUUGUUUUUCUAAAUUAAUGAGAAAAAUUUCAUUGAAAAAAAAUUAAAAGCUCUGUUUUUCCAAAUGAACAAGACAAUUUUCACAGAAAAACUAAAAAUGACUCGGAUUUACGAACUAUAAAACCAUAUAAUACCAUAAUGCAGCCUAUUGCCAUCUUCCUCUUUGCCUACAUCUGACCACUUCCAUUAUACAUUUAGUUAUUUUUUCAAAUUUAUAUCCGCCGUGAUCGCUUCACAGGCCACGGCUGCAAAAAUGCAGUGUCACUGGAAAGCAAUAAGCCUUUUGUUCUGUGCCUACAUCAAGUGAAAUGGAUAAAGUUUUGUUUGCCAUGGUUACUUGAAAAAUUCCGGCUUAGUUAUAUGCAGAGUCUUCAUAAAGUGCUUUGUAUCGACUAUUUCUGGUAGUAAAUGAGUGUGUAGGAGGAGGGAUAUGAUCUACAAACACCUGAGCAUAUUUUCAGGAAGACUGUGUUUUAGAAACCAGGAAUUGUAUGAGUGAGUUGUUUUAUUGGUCAGAAAAUGAGUUUGGGUCAGUAAAUGUUUAAGGAUGUUUAAGGAUUAGAUGUAGUUUUAUAAAUGAGGCCUCAUUUGAAUUGGAAAUGAUAAAUACUCUGCAGAAAAAAAAGAUAAAUAUACUAAAUAAAACAGGUUGUGCAAGAAAUGUCACAUAUAUCUGUUAGCCUUGUGUGCAAUCUGGAAACCGAGCAACUAUGUGUGUGCACCAUCUGGAAAAGGAUAUCAGAGAACCAUUUCUGUUGUCUCACAGAUAGAAGGUUCUGUUUUAACUCAAAGAGGUGAGACUGGAGAAGCAGCUCGUUGUUGCUGCAGCAGCAGAAUCUCCUCAGAAAAUCUGGUAGGAAGGAUCAAGUCUAGCAAAAUAAUGUCAAAAAGGGUUUUGUUACAAUUUACACAUAAUUACAUCCAUGUAAGAUUUACAGAUUUGGCCCUGAACAGAAAAAUAAUUAUGUCAUCAGAAAUGAAAAUAGUUUAACUAGAUUUAUUCAACAACAACGAAAUUAUCAACAGUGUGUUUAGUUUCCAGAAAGAUUGACCAUUUUUUAAAAUAUUCACCAUCAAUGAGGGUGAAUGGAGAAACAGUUUGUGACACGUGAUAAGUGAGCGGGGCAGCAGUAGCUCAGGAGGUAGAGCGGGUUGCAGGAUCGACCCCGGUUCCUGGCAAAGAAUAAUGCUGUUGUGUCCUUGGGCAAGACACUUAACCCACCAUGCUUGUUGGAGGUGGUCGGAGGGACUGGUGCCAGUCAGCAGCCUAGUUUCCAUCAGUGUCCCCCAAGGCAGCUGUGGCUACAAUGUAGCUCAUCAUCACCAGUGUGUGAAGGUGUGUGUUGGAGCCUUCUGACUCUGAAAGGUGUCUUACAAGUGUGGGUCAUUUAUCAUUUAAAACUGGUAUAAUAAAGAACGGAAGUCGAAAGAGAACAUCCACUGAAAUGAAUACUUGUUUUUGUUUUAAGGUUGUUUUUAAUUACCGGUAUAAUUGAAUAUGAUCAGAAAGGAAAACAUUGAUUAGAAUCUGUGCCAUUAAAGAGCAAGUCACCCACAAAUCAACUUUUUUUUGCUGAUAAACUAAAAUCGUGCUGCAGACACGUGUCGUCAAUAAUUUGGCACUUCAGUGCAUCUUAGUUAAAAUUUAAAUAUUCUGCCUAAAACUGUCAGUGUUACGCCGUUGUCAGGUAAAAACUCUGCACUGUAUUUGGAUUUAAAUCUGCCACCGCUAUUGGCUAAGAGGUAUGCUAUGAUGUAAACUGGUACAUUAUGAUGUCACAAUGCUGUCGUGAGCUUGUGUGUGUGUGUAUUUGUUAGCGGCUCCGCCCUCUCGGUCUGCCAGGCAACAGCAUUUGUUGCAUUUUUCAAACAUGAAGUGGGAGUGGAGUUAGACUCUGGUAGGGGGGUGACUUGCUCUUUAACUGUACAGUAUUUAUCAUCAUGCUUAAAACUAAUUCUGAAAUGGAGGCACCUAGAAUCUGUCGUUCAUGCUGUUAUAACCUCCUGCUUCCUGUGCCAAUGCACUGACCAGUACCCCUUUCUCGGCUUUGAACCGGCUGCAGGUUGUUCAGAAUGCUGCAGCCAGGUUCCCGACAAGCACCAGCCACUGCAGUCAAAUGACUUUGGUUCUGGCGCAGCUUCACUUUAGGAUAGGAUUUACCUGAUCAUUACAUUUAAAGCGCUCAAGGGCCUGGUACCAACGUAUCUGUCCAAGCUGCUCUCUCACUAUGUCCCUAUGCAUGUGCUGAGGUCUGCCGAUCUUCUGCUGCUCUCUACACCACAGGUGAGAUACUAAUCUAGGGAGGACGGGCUUUUGUGUGUGCCGCCCCGACACUCUGGAUCUCACUGUUUCUGUCGGACAGACAGGCUCCACCUCUUGCCUGUUAUGUUCAAUAACUCACUUUUAUGGCUUGGCCUUUGGGCAGUGACUUCAGUGCUUCUGUCUGAGGUUUUACUGAUUGAUUGUUUUACCUGUUGUUGCAACUUGUCUUGAUAGAGCUCUCAUGCUGUGUUUAAAUGUGCUCUACAAAUAAACUGGUAUGGUACGAUCUGUUUUUUCUUCUUCUUUCCUUCUGAAUGCAAAGUGUCGGCCCUUCAGUGUCCUCAGACACCAUUAUGAUCAUCAUCAUGAAGGUAGAUACUGAGGACACCUAGAGGCAAACAGAAGUAACAACAGCAACUGUAAGUACACCAGCACCUUUUGAUAGGAGACUUGAACGUGUUUGUUUUGGUAAAACUGCUUUUGAUUCUCCACCAGGCAACAAUAAAAUGUGACUGAAAGCAUAAAAACUGCAAAUCCUGCAAGAAUUAUUUUUUGUAGCAAUUUUCAAAAGGCUGCAACAAAAAGCAACCACAAAUCAGUCAGUGUGGUUUGGUUUAUUGUACCUGUAAAACAACUUUUACUGUCUAAGAAAUGUCAUUUCUAAAGCAAUAAAAUACCACAAAAAGAAUAUAGAAUUAUUAAAUAUUUCACACUAAAUUCCCAGAGUCAUGUGCCGUAUGGGCAGGGAUUUAAAGCGUUAUAUAUUUAAUAUAUUUUAAAGAAAACGUAUACAUUUACUGGUAAAUUAUUUUAAAAAGUCAUAAUUUUCCAUGGAGUUCUGUUUUCUACCAGAAGAUGUCGCUACAGGUUCAGUAUUAGUGUCUUCUUUCAUUACAAGUAAAAUUUUAUUGUCACAACUGUUAUUAUUUAAUACUUUAAAAAGUUUUUUCUAAAGAAUGAUUUCAUGACAUUAGACGGUAAAAAAAUACAAGAUUUUUAUUAAAUGUAUGUUGUUUACAGAGAUAAACUGUAAAUACAUUCAAGAUCAAAACAAAUAAAAUAACUUCAUACAAAAGUUUGUGUAUCAGGACAUCAAACAUCAUUUUUAUAUGUGACAUAUUAAGGCAAAAAUAACAUUAGAUUAACAACAGCACAGAAACAAUUGUGGGAAAGUAAUUUAGUCAUCAGAGGGGUUUCUAUUAUAAUUGUUUUAAAUUGAAAUUCACUCGUUUCAGGCAGAUGCUUGAGUGAACCAUUGAAACAUAUUGAAUUUUUUAGGCUCUUUUCUUUGUGGAUUUGAUCUGUAGCUCGAUCCAGUUUUAGCUAGUCUUAGGUUGUCGACAUCACAUGUGAAUCUUCAUAAAUAGUUUAGGCUUUAGACUAAAUCAGCGCCCUGGCUGGAACUUGAAGCAUAAAACAAAUAGAUGUAAAAAGCAUCAUUUGGUCAUAGAACUUUUUGAGGUAUUUAACCACAAUUAUAACUUCUGUAAAAAUCAGCCAGACAGCAAAUCACACCCACUGUCAUGUUCCUGGGCAGAGGUGAGUCACACCUUCUCCUCUCACCAGACUCUGAGCUAAUUCUCCACAGGUGAGGAGCAGGGGGAGCGGCAGCUGCAGGAGAUUUCCCAAUCAGGGACGCGGGUUCAAAAGGAGGAUGGAGACACAUCACUUUGCCGGAUGAUUGCACCAGUUUAGGAUCAUCUCAUCAUCUACUCACCCUCGCUGUCUUCGUUUUCUGGAACAUACUCAUCACGUCCCAUCCUCCUCCGCCGUUCCUGUUUGGCUUUCCCUCUGCUACCUCACCCCUCCUGGAUCUCUCAUCCUCUGCCCAGCGUCCUCCCCGGCUUCCCCUCCUCUCCUGAUUAACCUGAGCACCUCAGAGACUCGAGCCGUAUUGCUCAUCCCACAGGACUUCCCUGUGCGGUUUCAGUUCCCGUUUUUAUAAUAAAGACAUUUUACUUUA